rnacentral:rRNA from 1 species
AUACGUAGGUGGCAAGCGUUGUCCGGAUUUACUGGGCGUAAAGGGCGUGCAGGCGGUUCGUUAAGUUCGAGGUGAAAGCUCCCGGCUCAACUGGGAGAGGUCCCCGGAUACUGGCGGACUUGAGGGAGGCAGAGGAAAGUGGAAUUCCCGGUGUAGUGGUGAUAUGCGUAGAUAUCGGGAGGAACACCAGUGGCGAAGGCGGCUUUCUGGGCCUUACCUGACGCUGAGACGCGAAAGCGUGGGGAGCGAACCGGAUUAGAAACCCGAGUAGUCC